AGAGUUUGAUCCUGGCUCAGGACGAACGCUGGCGGCACGCCUAACACAUGCAAGUCGAACGGAGAAAAUAGCUUCGGUUGUUUUCUUAGUGGCGGACGGGUGAGUAACACGUGAGGAACCUGCCUUUGAGAGUGGGAUAGCUUCUGGAAACGGAUGGUAAUACCGCAUAACAUAGCGAAACCGCAUGAUUUUGCUAUCAAAGUAUUUCGCUCAGAGAUGGCCUCGCGUCUGAUUAGAUAGUUGGUGAGGUAACGGCUCACCAAGUCGACGAUCAGUAGCCGGACUGAGAGGUUGAACGGCCACAUUGGGACUGAGACACGGCCCAGACUCCUACGGGAGGCAGCAGUGGGGGAUAUUGCACAAUGGGGGAAACCCUGAUGCAGCAACGCCGCGUGAGGGAAGAAGGUUUUCGGAUUGUAAACCUCUGUUCUUAGUGACGAUAAUGACGGUAGCUAAGGAGAAAGCUCCGGCUAACUACGUGCCAGCAGCCGCGGUAAUACGUAGGGAGCGAGCGUUGUCCGGAUUUACUGGGUGUAAAGGGUGCGUAGGCGGCGAGGCAAGUCAGGCGUGAAAUCUAUGGGCUUAACCCAUAAACUGCGCUUGAAACUGUCUUGCUUGAGUGAAGUAGAGGUAGGCGGAAUUCCCGGUGUAGCGGUGAAAUGCGUAGAGAUCGGGAGGAACACCAGUGGCGAAGGCGGCCUACUGGGCUUUAACUGACGCUGAAGCACGAAAGCAUGGGUAGCAAACAGGAUUAGAUACCCUGGUAGUCCAUGCCGUAAACGAUGAUUACUAGGUGUGGGGGGUCUGACCCCCUCCGUGCCGCAGUUAACACAAUAAGUAAUCCACCUGGGGAGUACGGCCGCAAGGUUGAAACUCAAAGGAAUUGACGGGGGCCCGCACAAGCAGUGGAGUAUGUGGUUUAAUUCGAAGCAACGCGAAGAACCUUACCAGGUCUUGACAUCCGUCUAACGAAGCAGAGAUGCAUUAGGUGCCCUUCGGGGAAAGGCGAGACAGGUGGUGCAUGGUUGUCGUCAGCUCGUGUCGUGAGAUGUUGGGUUAAGU
rnacentral:rRNA from 1 species